CAUUGGGACUGAGACACGGCCCAGACUCUACGGGAGGCAGCAGUGGGGAAUAUUGCACAAUGGGGGAAACCCUGAUGCAGCGACGCCGCGUGGAGGAAGAAGGUCUUCGGAUUGUAAACUCCUGUUGUUGAGGCGGUACUCAACAAGGAAGUGACGGCUAACUACGUGCCAGCAGCCGCGGUAAAACGUAGGUCACAAGCGUUGUCCGGAAUUACUGGGUGUAAAGGGAGCGCAGGCGGGAGACAAGUUGGAAGUGAAAUCCAUGGGCUCAACCCAUGAACUGCUUUCAAAACUUUUUUCUUGAGUAGUGCAGAGGUAGGCGGAAUUCCCGGUGUAGCGGUGGAAUGCGUAGAUAUCGGGAGGAACACCAGUGGCGAAGGCGGCCUACUGGGCACCAACUGACGCUGAGGCUCGAAAGUGUGGGUAGCAAACAGGAUUAGAUACCCUGGUAGUCCACACCGUAAACGAUGAUUACUAGGUGUUGGACAGUGCCGCAGUUAACACAAUAAGUAAUCCACCUGGGGAGUACGACCGCAAGGUUGAAACUCAAAUGAAUUGACGG
rnacentral:rRNA from 1 species